GACCCAUCCAGAGCGGCUGAGAGAUCUGGCUCGAAGACGCCGCAGCAACCACCCCAAGCGCGGGACGGUGCUACCGCCAGGACCGAUGGAAA
rnacentral:ncRNA from 2 species